ensembl:snoRNA small nucleolar RNA SNORD46
UGACUGAGUGAUGAAAACAGGAUCCUUAGGCCUGGCGUGGCCGUCUUGGCCGCUGUGAGCCACUGGCCGAUGCUGGGACUCGUCAUAGUUACACUGACCGUUC